UUUACCGCGAAAGAGACUGAUUAUUCCGCUGUUGUCAUGUUUAAGUAAAUAAGUUGGCAGGAAAAUAUACAGAAGAUGAUUCAGGAGAUUUGAAAGGAUGUUUAGCACCUCUUUGUGAUAAGCAGCAAUGAGUUCUCAUGGGUUGACCAACAUUAAAGCCCUGUGUUCUAACCAAGACCUCUUGCUUCAUGCCUGUCACUGGGGGAGCUACACACCUGUCAAAUCCCGGGCCGUGUACAUUUUGCACCACCCUCUGUUGGAGCCCCAUGCACUGUCAAUACGCCUCAACCAGGAUUCGAUUGAAGCAAAGUUGCAGCUGCACUGCAAGCUGGAACGCUGCGGUACGUUACCGAAUGAUCCACCAAACGCCUGACAGUGACACAGAGGGGGAGGAGAACCCCUACCGUCACCUGCUCCACACCUGGCCAGCCCAGCGACAACCCCGGAAGAGGCAACAACAGAGGUGACGUCACGAACCUGCAGCCGGUGGUGGCUGGUCCCCUUCAUGGGUGUGAGGACAUUGAGGGGGCCCUGGCGUACUCCGUCCGCUCCAUCAUCGACUCGAGGCGCCGGGUGGGGUGCCUCCAGUACCUCGUGGAGUGGGAGGGGUACGGCCCGGAGGAACGGAGCUGGGUUCCGGUGAGAGACAUCCUGGCUCUCGCCCUCCUGCGCGACUUCCAUCGCCCGGAUCGCCCUGCUCUGUGUUCCCCGGGUCGGCCCCAGGGCCGGUGUCGUUGGGGGGGUUGGUGCUGUAAUGACUGCGCCCUCUGCUGCCUCUCCUCCCCCUGCAGCAGGCAGGCUCCAGCGGUCGACGUCACCGGUCUUCUAACACCAUCGCCCGUCUCAUUCAUGCAUUUCCCCUGUUGUCUUGUUUAGCGCACCUGAUCCUCAUUCUAAUCAUUGCCCCCAGUAUAUAUGCUCCCUCUGCUUCCCGUGUCUUUGUGUUUUAUUGUCUCGCCUACCCAGAGCAUUAUCAGGCUACGCCACUAUUGUCACUAUUAAAACACAGUUCAACAGUACGACUUCGGAUUCCUGCUCCUCGUUCCUCCUCGAGCCUGACAUUCAGCAUUAUCCAACAACAUCUUGUUUUACCUGGGUUACUGGGGCCAAUAAUGACACAGCCGAAUGGGUGUUGAAGUUGCGGGUCAAAACCGCUAUCCAUCCUAGAAUGUGAUUUAGUACCCGUAAGGCCCUGUGCUGUAAUCAGGGAGCAGUACACACUUGUUGUACACAACUCUGAAAUGCUUAGACACUACUUGGUUUUUCAAUCUGAAUGUUGUUUUAUCUCUCACAAUUGUGUCUACAUUAGCAAGGACGUAAUCAUCAUCACCACCCUCGCCUCGUACAUAGUUAUCAACCAGUCGUGUUAGCGUCUCCAA